rnacentral:miRNA from 1 species
AAGGCUUAGACGACUGUCAACU